AGGACGAACGCUGGCGGCGCGCUUAACACAUGCAAGUCGAGCGAGAACCGGUCCUUCGGGACUGGGGAAAGCGGCGAACGGGUGAGUAACACGUGAGCAACCUGCCCUUGGCUCUGGGAUAGCCUCCGGAAACGGGGAUUAAUACCGGACAUGACCUUGGUCUGCAUGGACUGAGGUGGAAAGUUUUUCGGCCAGGGAUGGGCUCGCGGCCUAUCAGCUUGUUGGGGGGGUAACGCCCACCAAGGCGACGACGGGUA
rnacentral:rRNA from 1 species